AUUGAACGCUGGCGGCAGGCUUAACACAUGCAAGUCGAACGAGAGGCGGACGGGUGAGUAAUGUCUGGGAAACUAGCUUAUGGAGGGGGAUAACUACGGGAAACGGUAGCUAAUACCGCGUACCAUAGGCUGUGCCCACGUGGGAUUAGGUAGUUGGUGAGGUAAAGGCUCACCAAGACGACGAUCCCUAGCUGGUCUGAGAGGAGGACCAGCCACACUGGAACUGAGACACGGCCCAGACUCGUACGGGAGGCAGCAGUGGGGAAUAUUGCGCAAUGGGUGCAAGCUGACGCAGCCAUGCCGCGUGGGUGAAGAAGGCCUUCGGGUUGUAAAGUUCUUUCGGUAGCGAGGCGUUAACUACAGAAGAAGCACCGGCUAACUCCGUGCCAGCCGCCGCGGUAAUAC
rnacentral:rRNA from 1 species